rnacentral:rRNA from 1 species
AACGAACGCUGGCGGCAUGCCUAACACAUGCAAGUCGAACGAGAUCUUCGGGUCUAGUGGCGCACGGGUGCGUAACGCGUGGGAAUCUGCCCCUUGGUUCGGAAUAACAGUUGGAAACGACUGCUAAUACCGGAUGAUGGCGAAAGUCCAAAGAUUUAUCGCCAGAGGAUGAGCCCGCGUGGGAUUAGCUAGUUGGUGUGGUAAAGGCGCACCAAGGCGACGAUCCUUAGCUGGUCAGAGAGGGUGAUCAGCCACACGGGGACUGAGACACGGCCCAGACUCCUAUGGGAGGCAGCAGUGGGGAAUAUUGGCCAUUGGGCGAAAGCCUGAUCCAGCGAUGCCGCGUGAGUGAUGAAGGCCUUAGGGUUGUACAGCUCUUUUACCCGGGAACAUAAUGACAGUACCGGGAGAAUAAGCUCCGGCUAACUCCGUGCCAGCCGCCGCAGUAA